UACGGAGGGUGCGAGCGUUGUCCGGAAUCACUGGGCGUAAAGGGCGCGUAGGUGGCGCGGGCAGUCAACGGUGAAAGUUCGGGGCUCAACCCUGAAUCGGCCGUCGAUACUCCCGGGCUUGAGCACUGUAGAGGCAGGAUGGAAUUCCGGGUGUAGCGGUGGAAUGCGUAGAGAUCCGGAAGAACACCGGUGGCGAAGGCGGUCUGCUGGGCAGUAGCUGACACUGAGGCGCGGACAGCGUGGGGAGCAAACA
rnacentral:rRNA from 1 species